rnacentral:lncRNA from 1 species
UAUGGUACACUUCUAUAUAAUAUAAGGGCGGGUUUGGUUUGAAGUCGGAAUCGGAAUCAGAAACGGAAUUAAAAUAAGCUGUAAUCGGAAUCGGAAUAACUCAUUAUCUAAUUCUGUUUGGUUCAUUAUCUGAAUCAGAAUCAGAAUAAAUCAUUUUCAUUGUCGGUGUUUGAUUCAGGUGGAUAUAAAAAACGUAAUCAAAUUAAUAUACUAACUUUAUCUUUAUAAUAUAUUAGUUUAAAUUUAAAUUAAAAAUUAAAUAUUAAACAUUUACUUCAAAAUUUUGAAAUAAUGUCAAAAUUUUAAAAUAAUGUCGAAAUUUUAAAUAUACUUUUUUUUAAAAAAUUAAACUUUAAAGUUGAGUGGAUAAUUCAAAAUAUGAAACUAAAUUUUGAUUUAUUCAAAUUCAAACUUAAAAUUACAAUUUAAAUUUUAAUUUGAAUCCAUAAAUUUAAUUUAAGUUUUAAAUAAAAUUUGAAUAAAACUUUAUGCAAAUUAACAUUUAAUUUAAAUUCAAAUUCAUAAGUUAGAUUCGAAAUACUCGAUUAAAUUGUCUAUUUCUCCCAAUCAUUUCCCUCUCUCACCCGCGAUCUGUUCUCCCUCUCUAUCGCUGAGCGGGCUUACGUGUCGCCUGCCCCGCCUCUCCUGAUCCAUUCCUUCUCUCUCUCACCCUCGAUCCCCUCCCUCUCUCUUACCCGCGAUCCCUUCUCUCUUACCCCCUAAUUCCUUCCUCUUCUAGAUCGGCUUAGAUCUAGCAAGUACUGU